UGAUGCCUACGGGGGGCAGCAGUGGGGAAUAUUGGGCAAUGGGCGCAAGCCUGACCCAGCAACGCCGCGUGAAGGAAGAAGGCUUUCGGGUUGUAAACUUCUUUUCUCAGGAACGAAGCAAGUGACGGUACCUGAGGAAUAAGCCACGGCUAACUACGUGCCAGCAGCCGCGGUAAUACGUAGGUGGCAAGCGUUAUCCGGAUUUACUGGGUGUAAAGGGCGUGUAGGCGGGGGCGCAAGUCAGAUGUGAAAACCAC
rnacentral:rRNA from 1 species